AGAGUUUGAUCCUGGCUCAGGAUGAACGCUGGCGGCGUGCCUAAUACAUGCAAGUCGAACGAACUUCCGUUAAUUGAUUAUGACGUGCUUGCACUGAAUGAGAUUUUAACACGAAGUGAGUGGCGGACGGGUGAGUAACACGUGGGUAACCUGCCCAGAAGCAGGGGAUAACACCUGGAAACAGAUGCUAAUACCGUAUAACAGAGAAAACCGCCUGGUUUUCUUUUAAAAGAUGGCUCUGCUAUCACUUCUGGAUGGACCCGCGGCGCAUUAGCUAGUUGGUGAGGUAACGGCUCACCAAGGCGAUGAUGCGUAGCCGACCUGAGAGGGUAAUCGGCCACAUUGGGACUGAGACACGGCCCAGACUCCUACGGGAGGCAGCAGUAGGGAAUCUUCCACAAUGGACGCAAGUCUGAUGGAGCAACGCCGCGUGAGUGAAGAAGGGUUUCGGCUCGUAAAGCUCUGUUGUUAAAGAAGAACGUGGGUGAGAGUAACUGUUCACCCAGUGACGGUAUUUAACCAGAAAGCCACGGCUAACUACGUGCCAGCAGCCGCGGUAAUACGUAGGUGGCAAGCGUUAUCCGGAUUUAUUGGGCGUAAAGCGAGCGCAGGCGGUCUUUUAAGUCUAAUGUGAAAGCCUUCGGCUCAACCGAAGAAGUGCAUUGGAAACUGGGAGACUUGAGUGCAGAAGAGGAUAGUGGAACUCCAUGUGUAGCGGUGAAAUGCGUAGAUAUAUGGAAGAACACCAGUGGCGAAGGCGGCUGUCUGGUCUGUAACUGACGCUGAGGCUCGAAAGUAUGGGUAGCGAACAGGAUUAGAUACCCUGGUAGUCCAUGCCGUAAACGAUGAUUACUAAGUGUUGGAGGGUUUCCGCCCUUCAGUGCUGCAGCUAACGCAUUAAGUAAUCCGCCUGGGGAGUACGACCGCAAGGUUGAAACUCAAAGGAAUUGACGGG
rnacentral:rRNA from 1 species